rnacentral:rRNA from 1 species
GUCUGCAACCCGACUCCAUGAAGCUGGAUUCGCUAGUAAUCGCGCAUCAGCCACGGCGCGGUGAAUACGUUCCCGGGCCUUGUACACACCGCCCGUCAAGCCAUGGAAGCCGGGAGUGCCUGAAGUGUGCAACCGCAAGGAGCGCCCUAAGGUAAAACCGGUGACUGGGGCUAAGUCGUAACAAGGUACC